rnacentral:rRNA from 1 species
UACGGAGGGUGCAAGCGUUAAUCGGAAUUAUUGGGCGUAAAGCGUGCGCAGGCGGUUUGUUAAGUCCGUUGUGAAAGCCCCGAGCUCAACUUGGGAAUUGCAGUGGAUACUGGCAGGCUGGAGUACGGUAGAGGAAGGUGGAAUUCCCGGUGUAGCAGUGAAAUGCGUAGAUAUCGGGAGGAACACCAGUGGCGAAGGCGGCCUUCUGGACCAGUACUGACGCUCAUGCACGAAAGCGUGGGGAGCAAACAGG